GAUGAACGCUGGCGGCGUGCCUAAUACAUGCAAGUCGAGCGGACAGACGAGGAGCUUGCUCCUCUGACGUUAGCGACGGGCGGGUGACUAACACGUGGAUAACCUUCCUCUUAGACUGGGACAACUUCGGGAAACUGGAGCUAAUACCGGGUAAUAUAUUGAACCGGAUGGUUCAAUAGUGAUAUACGGUUUUGCUGUCACUUCUAGCUGGAUUCGCGCUGCAGUAGCUAGUUGGUAAGGUAACGGCUUACCAAGGCAACGAUGCGUAGCCGACCUGAGAGGGUGAUCGGCCACGCUGGAACUGAGACACGGUCCAGACUCCUACGGGAGGCCGCAGUAGGGAAUCUGGCGCAAGUGGCGAAAGCCUGACGGAGCAACGCCGCGUGAGUGAUGAAGGUCUUCGGAUCGUAAAACUCUGUUAUGAGGGAAGAACAAUUGUGUAGGUAACUAUGCACGUCUUGACGGUACCUAAUUAGAAAGCCCCGGCUAACUACGUG
rnacentral:rRNA from 1 species